rnacentral:rRNA from 1 species
AGGGCACCACCAGGAGUGGAGCCUGCGGCUUAAUUUGACUCAACACGGGAAAACUUACCCGGCCAGGACGCCGUAAGGAUUGACAGACUGAGAGCUCUUUCUUGAUUCGGUGGGUGGUGGUGCAUGGCCGUUCUUAGUUGGUGGAGCGAUUUGUCUGGUUAAUUCCGAUAACGAACGAGACUCUAGCCUGCUAAAUAGACGGGCGAUCCCGUUGUGGGUCGACCCGAUUUGCUUCUUAGAGGGACAAGUGGCGUUCCUAGCCACCCGAAGUUGAGCAAUAACAGGUCUGUUAUGCGAAUUGAUGUCGGGGGCCCCAGGAGUGGAGCCAGCGGCUUAAUUUAACUUGCACGGGAAAACUUACCCGGCCAGGACGCCGUAAGGAUUGACAGACUGAGAGCUCUUUCUUGAUUCGGUGGGUGGUGGUGCAUGGCCGUUCUUAGUUGGUGGAGCGAUUUGUCUGGUUAAUUCCGAUAACGAACGAGACUCUAGCCUGCUAAAUAGACGGGCGAUCCCGUUGUG